UAUAUGCUUGUCUCAAAGCUUAAGCCAUGCAAGUGUAAGUUCAUGCCGUAAACGAAUGGUGAAACCGCGAAUGGCUCAGGAACCGGACCUAAUCCUCGGGACCGUAUUCUUCCACCGCGAGGAAAGUGGAUAACUGUGGCAAUUCUAGAGCUAAUACAUGCAACUGAAGCCGCAAUCGCAGGUCGCACCCGGGCGUCGCGAUGAAAAACUGCUUCGGCAGCAGCA
rnacentral:lncRNA from 1 species